rnacentral:rRNA from 1 species
UGGGGAAUAUUGGACAAUGGGGGGAACCCUGAUCCAGCCAUGCCGCGUGUGUGACGAAGGCCUUAUGGUUGUAAAGCACUUUAAGCGAGGAGGAGGGUACUGGUAUUAAUACUACCAGGUACUGGACGUUACUCGCAGAAUAAGCACAGGCUAACUCUGUGCCAGCAGCCGCGGUAAUACAGAGGGUGCGAGCGUUAAUCGGAUUUACUGGGCGUAAAGCGUGCGUAGGCGGCUAAUUGAGUCGGAUGUGAAAUCCCCGAGCUUAACUUGGGAAUUGCAUUCGAUACUGGUUAGCUAGAGUGUGGGAGAGGAUGGUAGAAUUCCAGGUGUAGCGGUGAAAUGCGUAGAGAUCUGGAGGAAUACCGAUGGCGAAGGCAGCCAUCUGGCCUAACACUGACGCUGAGGUACGAAAGCAUGGGGAGCAAACAGG